AACCCAUUGUUACAUUAUUAGACGGAAAGACCCCAAGAGCUUUUUUUGUGUUAGAUUUGUUUGGGGUAAAUGUAGAUUAUUCAUUUAUUUUUAGAUCCUUCACGGAUAAAGGAUAAAGUUACCUUGGGGAUAACUGAGUAAAGGGCAGGGAGAGGUCCUAUUGAUCUGUUUAUUACUACCUCGAUGUUGGCUUGUUGAACCUUUUUGGUGUAGAGGCUGGAAAAGGAAGUCUGUUCGACUUUUAAAUCUUCAUGAGUUGAGUUAAGACCGGUGUAAGCCAGGUUGGUUCUUAUCUAUAAUUGGUUCUAGUUAGUACGAAAGGAUUAUUAGGAUACAGUGUUUCUGUACACAUAGGAAUAGAAAGUAUACA
rnacentral:rRNA from 1 species